rnacentral:tRNA from 1 species
UGGCUCAGUGGAUAGAGCGUUUGCCUGCAGACCAAAGGGUCCCAGGUUCGAUUCUGG